rnacentral:lncRNA from 1 species
UGCCGAUCGUAUUUUCAAUCGAUCAGCAUUACAAGCAUUCCGCCAGACUAUUCUCCUACUAGGUUCAUUUCUUUGUUCAUACUCACUCUUAUUCUAUUUUCAGCCUUUAUGACCUCAAUUCUUUUAUUUUUCAGAUACAGCAGUACCUGUCUCCAUUGAUCCCACUGUACCAAAAGAAGAACCAGAGGAGAUUCCUGAUAUUUCGCCUACUUUUUCUGUAAUCGCCUCCUUCUUCUGUAAUAGAAUUUUCCUUUCCUUUGGAUUUUGAGAUACAUAUAUAUAUAUAUAUAUAUAUAUAUAUUUUAUUUGUCUACAGUCAAUUCCAGCUUCUCCAUCGGUCCCAGCUUCAAAUAAAAGACCGAUUGAAACUGUACAAUCUCCGCCUCCGCCGUCUUCAAA